CAAAUAGUAGCUUAAUCACAAAGCAUCCAACUUACAAUUGGAAGAUGUCAUGAACACUGACCACUUUGA
rnacentral:tRNA from 1 species